UACGUAGGGUGCAAGCGUUGUCCGGAAUUAUUGGGCGUAAAGAGCUCGUAGGCGGUUCGUCGCGUCGGCUGUGAAAUCCCGAGGCUCAACCUCGGGUCUGCAGUCGAUACGGGCGGACUGGAGUUCGGCAGGGGAGACUGGAAUUCCUGGUGUAGCGGUGAAAUGCGCAGAUAGUCAGGAGGAACACCGGUGGCGGAAGGCGGGUCGUCUGGGCCGAUACUGACGCUGAGGAGCGAAAGCGUGGGGAGCGAACAGG
rnacentral:rRNA from 1 species